rnacentral:rRNA from 1 species
CGGGAAUUUUGCGCAAUGGACGAAAGUCUGACGCAGCAACGCCGCGUGAGGGAUGAAGGCCUUCGGGUUGUAAACCUCUUUUAUCAGGGAAGAUAAUGACGGUACCUGAUGAAUAAGUCACGGCUAACUACGUGCCAGCAGCCGCGGUAAUACGUAGGUGACAAGCGUUGUCCGGAUUUACUGGGCGUAAAGAGCGCGCAGGCGGUCGUUCAAGUCGAGUGUGAAAGCCCCCGGCUCAACUGGGGAGGGUCAUUCGAUACUGAUCGACUCGAAGGCAGGAGAGGGAAGUGGAAUUCCCGGUGUAGUGGUGAAAUGCGUAGAUAUCGGGAGGAACACCAGUGGCGAAGGCGACUUCCUGGCCUGUUCUUGACGCUGAGGCGCGAAAGCUAGGGGAGUAAACGGGAUUAGAUACCCCGGUAGUCCUAGCCGUAAACGAUGGACACUAGGUGUUGGUGGUAUCAACCCCGCCAGUGCCGAAGCUAACGCAUUAAGUGUCCCGCCUGGGGAGUACGGCCGCAAGGCUA